rnacentral:rRNA from 1 species
GAUGAACGCUGGCGGCGUGCCUAAUACAUGCAAGUCGAGCGAACGGACGAGAAGCUUGCUUUUCUGAUGUUAGCGGCGGACGGGUGAGUAACACGUGGAUAACCUACCUAUAAGACUGGGAUAACUUCGGGAAACCGGAGCUAAUACCGGAUAAUAUUUUGAACCGCAUGGUUCAAAAGUGAAAGACGGUCUUGCUGUCACGUAUAGAUGGAUCCGCGCUGCAUUAGCUAGUUGGUAAGGUAACGGCUUACCAAGGCAACGAUGCAUAGCCGACCUGAGAGGGUGAUCGGCCACACUAGAGCUGAGACACGGUCCAGACUCCUACGGGACGCAGCAGUAGGGAAUCUUCCGCAAUGGGCGAAAGCCUGACGGAGCAACGCCGCGUGAGUGAUGAAGGUCUUCGGAUCGUAAAACUCUGUUAUUAGGGAAGAACAUAUGUGUAAGUAACUGUGCACAUCUUGACGGUACCUAAUCAGAAAGCCACGGCUAACUACGUG